rnacentral:rRNA from 1 species
AGAACCGUGAGGUUCUAUUCAGGGGCCUGGAAGUGUUUAUGCCGGAAUGAGUAACGAUAAGACAAGUGAGAAGCUUGUCCGCCGCAAGCCUAAGGUUUCCUGGGGAAGGUAAUUCCGCCCAGGGUCAGCCGGUACCUUAGCCGAGGCCGAAAGGCGUAGGCGAUGGAGAGCAGGUUAAUAUUCCUGCGCUGAUUUGUGGACCGAUGGGGGGACGUUGUGU